rnacentral:rRNA from 1 species
CAGUAGCCGCGGUAAUACGAAGGGGGCUAGCGUUGCUCGGAAUUACUGGGCGUAAAGGGAGCGUAGGCGGACAUUUAAGUCAGGGGUGAAAUCCCAGAGCUCAACUCUGGAACUGCCUUUGAUACUGGGUGUCUUGAGUGUGAUAGAGGUAUGUGAAACUCCGAGUGUAGAGGUGAAAUUCGUAGAUAUUCGGAAGAACACCAGUGGCGAAGGCGACAUACUGGAUCAUUACUGACGCUGAGGCUCGAAAGCGUGGGGAGCAAACAGGAUUAGAUACCCCCGUAGUCCCUGUCUCUUAUAC